GAUGAACGCUAGCGGCAGGCCUAACACAUGCAAGUCGAGGGAGAAGCCCUUUCGGGGGCAGAAACCGGCGCACGGGUGCGUAACGCGUAUGCAACCUACCUUUCACAGGGGGAUAGCCCGAAGAAAUUUGGAUUAAUACCCCAUAAUAUUAUUGGAUGGCAUCAUUUGAUAAUUAAAACUGCGGUGGUGAAAGAUGGGCAUGCGUCCUAUUAGCUAGUUGGAGUGGUAACGGCACCCCAAGGCUACGAUAGGUAGGGGUCCUGAGAGGGAGAUCCCCCACACUGGUACUGAGACAGGGACCAGACUCCUACGGGAGGCAGCAGUGAGGAAUAUUGGUCAAUGGUCGGAAGACUGAACCAGCCAUGCCGCGUGCAGGAAGAAUGCCUUAUGGGUUGUAAACUGCUUUUAUAUGGGAAGAAUAAGGUGUACGAGUACAUUGAUGACG
rnacentral:rRNA from 1 species